AAGGUGGCUUUUGGGCUGUCGCAGAUGGAUGAGCCUGCGUUGGAUUAGCUAGUUGGUGGGGUAAGGGCUUACCAAGGCUACGAUCCAUAGCUGAUUUGAGAGGAUGAUCAGCCACAUUGGGACUGAGACACGGCCCAAACUCCUACGGGAGGCAGCAGUGAGGAAUAUUGGACAAUGGGGGCAACCCUGAUCCAGCAAUGCCAUGUGUGUGAAGAAGGCCUUAGGGUUGUAAAGCACUUUAGUUGGGGAAAAAAGCUUUGAGGUUAAUAGCCUUGAGGAAGGACGUUACCCAAAGAAUAAGCACCGGCUAACUCCGUGCCAGCAGCCGCGGUAAUACGGGGGGUGCAAGCGUUAAUCGAAAUUACGGGGCGUAAAGGGUCUGUAGGUGGUUUGUUAAGUCAAAUGUGAAAGCCCAGGGCUCAACCUUGAAACUGCAUUUGAUACUGGCAAACUAAAGUACGGUAAAGGAAUGGGGAAUUUCUGGUGUACCGGUGAAAUGCGUAAAGAUCAAAAGGAACACCAAUGGCGAAGGCAACAUUCUGGACCGAUACUGACACUGAGGGACGAAAGCGUGGGGAUCAAACAGGAUUAAAUACCCUGGUAGUCCAUGCUGUAAACGAUGAGUACUAGCUGUUGAAGUCGGUGUAAAGGCUCUAGUGGCGCACCUAACGCGAUAAGUACUCCGCCUGGGGACUACGGCCGCAAGGCUAAAACUCAAAGGAAUUGACGGGAACCCGCACAAGCGGUGAAGCAUGUGGUUUAAUUCGAUGCAACGCGAAGAACCUUACCUGGUCUUGACAUCCUGCGAGCUUUCUAAAGAUAGAUUGGUGCCUUCGGGAACGCAUUGACAGGUGCUGCACGGCUGUGGUCAGCUCGUGUUGUGAAAUGUUUGGGUUAAGUCCCGCAACGAGCGCAACCCCUAUGGAUAGUUACCAUCAUUAAGUUGGGUACUCUAUUGAGACUGCCGCUGACA
rnacentral:rRNA from 1 species